rnacentral:rRNA from 1 species
AGGAUGAACGCUGGCGGCGUGCUUAACACAUGCAAGUCGAACGAUGAUCCCAGCUUGCUGGGGGAUUAGUGGCGAACGGGUGAGUAACACGUGAGUAACCUGCCCUUAACUUCGGGAUAAGCCUGGGAAACUGGGUCUAAUACCGGAUAUUCACUUUUCACCGCAUGGUGGGGGGUGGAAAGAUUUUUUGGUUUGGAUGGACUCGCGGCCUAUCAGCUUGUUGGUGAGGUAAUGGCUUACCAAGGCGACGACGGGU